rnacentral:rRNA from 1 species
GACGGGGGGGGCAAGCGUUGUUCGGAAUUACUGGGCGUAAAGGGCUCGUAGGCGGCCAACUAAGUCGGAUGUGAAAUCCCCAGGCUCAACCUGGGAACUGCAUCCGAUACUGGAUGGCUUGAAUUCGGGAGAGGGAUGCAGAAUUCCAGGUGUAGCGGUGAAAUGCGUAGAUAUCUGGAGGAAUACCGGUGGCGAAGGCGGCAUCCUGGACCGACAUUGACGCUGAGGAGCGAAAGCUAGGGGAGCAAACGGG